rnacentral:rRNA from 1 species
CCAAAGAAGACCCUGAAGGCACUUGAGAAGAUCCAGCGAGGCUUCCUUUGGGCUGGGCGCGCGGAGGCCAACGGCGGCAAUUGCCAUGUCAACUGGCAGCGCGUCUCCAGGCCGAUCUUGUUGGAAAUAUGCCCUAGAGGCAAUAAUAAAUGGUUAUUAUUAUAUUUUCUUUGUUCAUGGUAA